GCUGGAGAAAUCCAAGAAUUGCCUGUGGUCCCAGCUACUCGGGAGGCUGAGGCUGGAGGAUCGCUUGAGCCCAGGAGUUCUGGGCUGUAGUGAGCUAUGCGGAUCGGGUGUCUGCACUAAGUUCAGCACCAAUAUGGUGACCUCCCAGGAGCAGGGGACCACCAGGUUGCCUAAGGAGGGGUGAACCGGCCCAGGUCAGAAACGGAGCAGGUCAAAACUCCCAUGCUGAUCAGUAGUGGGAUUGUGCCUGUGAAUAGCCACUGCACUCCAGCCUGGGCAACAUAGCGAGACCCUGUCUCAA
ensembl:misc_RNA Metazoa_SRP Metazoan signal recognition particle RNA